UCGGACGUGGUGUACGGCACACAACAGGCUCUUUUACCAUGAAAACAUAAGGCCACUCGCAGUACGGGGUUCGAUUCCCCGCGUCCGAA